ACUUAACUUUUCAACAAUUGUCAAGGUAAUGGCGUAAUGCCCACGUUUGGAAACAAGUAAAAAGCUGUGAUGCAAUGAUUAAAAUUAUAAUUAUUAGGUUAUGGCGAUUGAAAUUUAUAAGAUGUAACGGGGACGCUGAUAAUUGAUAAGCUUAUGCACAUAAUCACAUUAUCAAAAAUUAGAUGACCCCGGUGCAACUGAUUAUAUGAAUGUGGUAACGUUUCUUAGCGCGCCACAGUCACUAUGAUAACAAUUGAUAAGAUGUUUGUUUAUUUUAUUUUUUUUGAUAUUUUAAUGUAAUAAUGAACAAUAAUUAUUGUGAUGCUUGCAAUAUUAAAUUUAAGAACCGAUCAACAUUCCUGUGCCAUUUGGCAAGUAAUCAUCAUGGAUCGUUUCCUCUUGUCAGUUGUCAACGACAUAAAAAAUAUUGAUGGUGAUGCCAACAAAAAGUCCUUUCGUACCCGACCAAUCAUUGUUAACAGCAAUUCAGAGUCUACUCUCAGCGAUGAAUGUUCAAACAAACACCAACGCUACCAGUGCAGUAUAUGCAAAAGAACUUCUCGUUCGACUCAUGGUAUCAGCAGCACAUGUACACACAUAUGCCAGGAAAGUAUUUAUGCAAUUAUUGUUCAAAAGUGUUUAAAAGAAAUGACAACUUGGUAAGACACACAAAAUAUAUUCAUUCAAGCAAUCUAACAGCGAACAAAUGCAACACAUGUUCAAAGACAUUCAAAUACAAAAGUUCACUGAAGGAAUACAGAAUAAAUAAUCACUGUACGAAGAGACGAAAACACCUAUGUAAGGUCAGUAAAAAAUGUCUAUGGUCGAAGAAAACUUUACAUUACCACUUGAAUGCACACCAUAAUAAAUAAGAAUUCAUGUGUGGUACAUGUGGAUUGACGUUCACCGCACCUUACAAAAAGAGUCGUCACCGCAAAAAAAAUGACCAUUGAAGCAUAAUCCACAACCUCUGAACUGGCAACCAUUCAUAAAUCAUAAUAAUUCAAAUGGAACAGCAGUCACCGCCUCCGUACACGUGUGAAUCAUUGUUGCAGAUGGAAAUGGUUGAGUCUUCAGAUAUUGAGUACACCAAAUAAGUGUAAUGUUCCACACUACCCAAGGGGUCUUACACAUAAGCGCAUUUUUUUUAUCAAGGCGGUAUCGCCUAGAGCCCUAGUCCACCGUUUCUGCAAUCUUCAUACUGGAUGCUAAAAUAAAAAUAUAAAUAAGCUGAGCAUUUCACCAUCCACCACUAGUGAUGAUGAUAAAUAUUUGCCAGGACCUAGUACAGUGGUUGUCUCGGCUGAAAAUAAUCAUGACUUUAAGAAAUGCAGAAGCCCUUUAAAACCAUUGUCGUCUACUGUUUUAUCAUCAGAUGAUGGCAAUAAUGUACUUCCAAUUCAAGAACAAAAUUUAAAAAAUGAGCUAGGCGUUUCAUCAUCCACCACUAGUGAUGAUGAUAAAUAUUUGCCAGGACCUAGUACAGUGGUUGUCUCGGCUGAAAAUAAUCAUGAUUUUGAGAAACGCAGAAGCCCUUUAAAACCAUUGUCGUCUACUGUUUUAUCAUCAGAUGAUGGCAAUAAUUUAAUUCCAAUUCAAGAACAAAAUUUAAAAAAUGUGGAAAAAAAAUAUAAGAAAAAAACCAAAUGCAUGUUCUGCCCCAAGUCGUUCUUGUAUAAAUCACAUUGGUUGAGACACAUAGCUAUCCACGUUGAGCCACAAUGGAAAUGUGAUAUUUGUAAUUUGUCAUUUACAAGAGAAGAUACAAUAAUGCGUCAUCGGUACAGACAUGAAGAGAAGCGAUUUGUAUUCCCUUGUCAACGCUGCCCAAACGAAUAUCUCAACUAUGAUUCGCUGCAACAGCAUGUCAAACAAAAACACACAGAAAAUCCCAAAGAGUUCAAAUGCAAUGCGUGCCAAAAAACAUUUUUAACACAGAAAACAUUAACUUACCAUUUAAAUGUGCAUGCAUCCAUAACACCUUAUGAG